GAUGAACGCGGCGGCGCGCCUAACACAUGCAAGUCGAACGAUUAAGCACCUUCGGGUGUGUAUAAAGUGGCGAACGGCUGAGUAACACGUGGGCAACCUGCCCCUCUCAUUGGGAUAGCCACGGGAAACCGUGGAUAAUACCGAAUACUUCGGGACUUCCGCAUGGAAGACUCGAGAAAGCUCCGGCGGAGAGGGAUGGGCCCGCGGCCUGUUAGCUUGUUGGUGGGGUAACGGCCUACCAAGGCAAUGAUGGGUAGCUGGGUUGAGAGACCGACCAGCCAGAUUGGGACUGAGACACGGCCCAGACUCCUACGGGAGGCAGCAGUGGGGAAUCUUGCACAAUGGGCGAAAGCCUGAUGCAGCGACGCCGCGUGCGGGAUGAAGGCCUUCGGGUUGUAAACCGCUUUCAGCAGGGACGAGGCGAAAGUGACGGUACCUGCAGAAGAAGCCCCGGCUAACUACGUGCCAGCAGCCGCGGUAAUACGUAGGGGGCAAGCGUUAUCCGGAUUCAUUGGGCGUAAAGCGCUCGUAGGCGGUCUGUUAGGUCGGGAGUUAAAUCCGGGGGCUCAACCCCCGUUCGCUCCCGAUACCGGCAGACUUGAGUUUGGUAGGGGAAGGUGGAAUUCCUAGUGUAGCGGUGGAAUGCGCAGAUAUUAGGAAGAACACCAGUGGCGAAGGCGGCCUUCUGGGCCAUAACUGACGCUGAGGAGCGAAAGCUAGGGGAGCAAACAGG
rnacentral:rRNA from 1 species